ensembl:lncRNA
AUGGAUUCUAGUUCUGUCUGUCUCUUCCUGGUUAUGGAUUCUAGUUCUGUCUGUCUCUUCCUGGUUAUGGAUUCUAGUUCUGUCUGUCUCUUCCUGGUUAUGGAUUCUAGUUCUGUCUGUCUCUUCCUGGUUAUGGAUUCCAUCGCUAUCUGUGUUUAGUUCUGUCUGUCUCUUCCUGGUUAUGGAUUCUAGUUCUGUCUGUCUCUUCCUGGUUAUGGAUUCUAGUUCUGUCUGUCUCUUCCUGGUUAUGGAUUCUAGUUCUGUCUGUCUCUUCCUGGUUAUGGAUUCUAGUUCUGCCUGUCUCUUCCUGGUUAUGGAUUCUAGUUCUGCCUGUCUCUUCCUGGUUAUGGAUUCCAUUGCUAUCUGUGUUUAGUUCUGUCUUCGUUUUAAGAAUUAUGUCGUCAGUUAAUGGAGAAAGAAAGAGAAAGCAUGUCUUGUGUUUAAAAUGUAAGAGUCUGAUCUGAUUCAUUUAUAUCAGGGCAAGCCGUAGAUAUACAUAACAGAGUUCUGGAAACUAUCCUCCAUUUCAGCUCCAAAUUUCCAAUCCCAAUCUCUAUGGAUAACUCUAUUUCUGGGUAAAUCUUUGAGUCUUCUUGGUUUUGCCCUCUCCCACGCCCUGAGUUUAUUUGCACAGUGACAGUGGACCAGGCCUGUCCCGUCUUAGAGAUGAAGUGCAGUGAGGAAAAAAAUAAUGUCAAAAAAUUUGUCCAAGUCAACGUGGAUUUCCUUGUUGUUAUUACUGUCAUCGUCCAAUUUGUGCUUCACUACAAAGCCUGAGAUUUGGAUUGAAUCCCAAAUGGUGUGCUGUAUGUUGCUCCUAGCCUGUGUGGUUGUCAGAUGUGUUUCAGCUUUUGCCCACUUUAGUAAGUAAACUGCUUUUGUUGACUCAAACAUUGGUUGGUUGUAGUGACAGUGCCAUUGUGUCAAUAAUGAGGAAAGCCAAAAUGCCAAAGGUUGGGCCUUUUGGCAAUUUGAAGAGAUCAUUAAAAAAAUGUUUUCUAGGACUCUUCUGUUGACGAUGUAUAAAAUGUAUGUUGGUCUGAUGUGUAUGAGGAAGGGAAUCCAGAUGUGUAUGAGGAAGGGAAUCCAGAUGUGUAUGAGGAAGGGAAUCCAGAUGUGUAUGAGGAAGAGAAUCCAGGUGUGUAUGAGGAAGGGAAUCCAGGUGUGUAUGAGGAAGGGAAUCCAGGUGUGUAUGAGGAAGGGAAUCCAGGUGUGUAUGAGGAAGGGAAUCCAGAUGUGUAUGAGGAAGGGAAUCCAGUUGUGUAUGAGGAAGGGAAUCCAGAUGUGUAUGAGGAAGGUUAUCCAGGUGUGUAUGAGGAAGAGAAUCCAGAUGUAGUACUGGAAGUAUUUGUAGAAAUAUUCCUGCCAGUUGUUGCCCAGCACCUGUUUAGUAUAUAACUGGAAGAACUGUUAGGGCCCCUGGAUCGAUGAUGAAUUUAAGAAUCGUAUGGUUCAAAGACACAAUGAAAAAGAGGUGACAUCACAAGUCAGGCUGCUCAGCUGAUUGGUUGACAUUCUGUAACUUGAGACAUUUUGUGACUAAACUUAACAAAAAUCAAUAAAUAAAAAUUAUAUUUCCAAACCAAGAUAAAUGACAUAAAACACAAUGGAAAAGGCUUUGGAGAACCUUAAAUUAUAUCAUGGGCAGAAAACCCAAUUCAUUUCCAUCGUUCAUUGAAGUUUAUGGAUAAUUUAUAACAAAACCUUUUGAUAUUAA